GUGCCAGCCGCCGCGGUAAUACGUAGGUGGCAAGCGUUGUCCGAAAUCACUGGGCGUAAAGCGCGCGCAGGCGGCGAUCUACGUCUGGGGUGAAAGCCCGGAGCUCAACUCCGGGACUGCCUUGGAUACGGGAUCGCUUGAGGAUUGGAGAGGCAAGGGGAAUUCCACGUGUAGCGGUGAAAUGCGUAGAUAUGUGGAGGAACACCUGUGGCGAAGGCGCCUUGCUGGCCAAUUUCUGACGCUGAGGCGCGAAAGCGUGGGGAGCAAACAGGAUUAGAUACCCUGGUAGUCCACGCCGUAAACGAUGAGUGCUAGGUGUUGGGGGGUACCACCCUCAGUGCCGAAGCUAACGCAUUAAGCACUCCGCCUGGGGAGUACGGUCGCAAGACUGAA
rnacentral:rRNA from 1 species